AACGAACGCUGGCGGCAUGCCUAACACAUGCAAGUCGAACGAGACCUUCGGGUCUAGUAGCGCACGGGUGCGUAACGCGUGGGAAUCUGCCCUCUGGUUCGGAAUAACUCAGGGAAACUUGAGCUAAUACCGGAUAAUGACUUCGGUCCAAAGAUUUAUCGCCUGAGGAUGAGCCCGCGUCGGAUUAGCUAGUUGGUGAGGUAAAAGCUCACCAAGGCGACGAUCCGUAGCUGGUCUGAGAGGAUGAUCAGCCACACUGGGACUGAGACACGGCCCAGACUCCUACGGGAGGCAGCAGUGGGGAAUAUUGGACAAUGGGCGAAAGCCUGAUCCAGCAAUGCCGCGUGAGUGAUGAAGGCCUUAGGGUUGUAAAGCUCUUUUACCCGGGAUGAUAAUGACAGUACCGGGAGAAUAAGCCCCGGCUAACUCCGUGCCAGCCGCCGCCGUAACAC
rnacentral:rRNA from 1 species